rnacentral:rRNA from 1 species
UACGGGGGGGGGCAAGCGUUGUUCGGAAUUACUGGGCGUAAAGCGCGCGUAGGCGGCUUUGUAAGUUAGAGGUGAAAGCCCGGAGCUCAACUCCGGAACUGCCUUUAAAACUGCAUCGCUUGAAUCCAGGAGAGGUGAGUGGAAUUCCGAGUGUAGAGGUGAAAUUCGUAGAUAUUCGGAAGAACACCAGUGGCGAAGGCGGCUCACUGGACUGGUAUUGACGCUGAGGUGCGAAAGCGUGGGGAGCAAACAGG